CUGCACCUCUCUUAGACUUCACAGAUGGGCUGACUGCUACUGGAAAAGUAUCUCUGGUUGGAUAUUUCUCCUUGUGGAGCUGUCCCAGUGAAUCUAGAUGUUCGUUUGGUCAGGGAGAUGAGCUUCCCCAGGGACUUUCUACUGCUGCUGAAAGAGCUAAAGGUUUAAGACUCUCAUCUGCUCCACAAAAACAGAAAGGACAGGAGUCUGGUUGCCACAGAUGAGGCUCUGCAGUGUGUGUGGAGGCACGUUCCUUUCUGCUGACACUGCUACAAGAUGGAUUGUUCUGCAGACAGUUGGAUGGGUAGCUGGGGGAAGUGGGAUCCACCAGGAAAGCUUCAUGGGCUCUCUUGCGUGUGCUUGUACACAUUGUCUAGGAGCAUUCAAAGGCAUCGUCAAUACUUGUAUGUAUUUUUCCACCAUGGAUGUUUUAUUGCUAAGCAGAUAAAUUUUUCCUACUUAGAGGUGACUGCAUAUCUGUGAUGAAAGGAAAUGAUUUGCUAAACUCUCUGUAUACAUUUCAUUACAUGGGACUAAGGGGGAAAAAGAGAUACAUAAAAUAUUUCAGAGACAACUUAUAUUUUGAGUGUUCUGUUUCAGCAACAGAAAGAAUAUGUGAAAUGUAUACAGAGAGAUUGUUUCAUUCAUGGAUACAGAGAAGUCAGGUAUCCCUGUUCUCUCUGUUCUUUUGGCGUCUGGGAUGUCAGAAGAGGACAACAGUUACAGAACUCAAGUUCUUAGGGGAACUUCUCACCCAGUAGCUCCCUGGGGCUUUAGCUGAACUGUGGGAUACUCAGUGUUUCCCAACUCUUGUGUCAAAGACUGUCUCCUCUCUUCCCAGAUGUGGCCGUGCACCAUUUCUGUUUUCUCCCCUCCCACGCUCUGGUUUCCACAGGAAGGAAUCCUGGGCAUGUGAGUCAGGGAGCUGCAGCGUGCUCUGAUCCUGUCACCAGGCUGAAUGAUUCAGGGCUGAGGCUGUACAACACACCUACCCCAUGAUUUACAUGUAGCCCUUGGGAUACUCAAAGCCACAUUUUCUCAACAUGCCAAGUUCUUGAGAAAAUCCACCCACUUGCUUUGGUGCAUAAAUAUAAACUUAAUUCUUAACAGAAAUCAAAUCUGGGAGGUGCACCCAGGAAGGAAAUCUGCUGUCCCACUUCCUAGUGUUCCCCCAUAUCUGCAGGUGACUGGAGCAUGAAGUGCCUUUCAUCUGUGCACUGCACUGCUCAUUUGCACCAUGUUCUCUAAGCCUGUGUUCCUUUCUUUCCUUCUGUUAUUUUUUCCCCUGUGUGAGAGCACUGGCGCCUAUGAUGGAAGGUCAUCAGUGAGGUUAGUCAACUGGCUCCAAGCAUUAAGACUUCCUGCCCUGCUAUGCUGAGCUGCCAAGUCCCCCUCCCCACUGCUUACCACAAAACCCAGUGUCUGCUUGUCUCCCUCCCCACCCUUCUCAUCCCUACCAAUUUCUAAUUCAGCAGCCUGUACAGCAGACAGAGUGGGAAGGGGAGGCACCCAAGCUACAUUCAGAUGUGUUUGAGCACCAGAAGCAGUUUGGCUGUAGGGUGAUGUUGUCAAUGUUGUUGAGCAAUGUGCUUACAGACAUUGCCAGAAGGUGAGCUGCCCCUGAAUGUGGGGUAAAUAUCCCCCAAGAGUCUGCAGCUAGUUCCCAUGGGGAUCUGUUCCUGUAGCUGACCUAUUAUUCCCGCUGGAAAAUGUCAUUAAGUUUCUCGAUUAGCAGGCUGGUCCUGGCAGCCUUAACUAGGAAAGAGUUUGUCUCAAGUAGCUACGGAGAACAUGAUUUUUGGCAGUUGACACAAAUUGGCUGCACAAGGAACUGUAACUUCCUUAGAGAAAUGCUAGGAGGUUACAGGUUGAAAAGAAUUAGAAACCUCUGCCCCAGCCAUGAACCUGGGGGAAAGCAAGAAACCUCCAUCCCAAAGGGAGCAAGAUGUCCCCAAAAGGACAAUGGAUGAUGGGCGAGCAGUUGCAGGGCAAGGGGAGGGAAGAAGCACCCAGGGAACUGCUCAUGGCGUGGGUCUGCACCUGGGCUGUGCAAAGGGAGCAGGAGCUAAGAGAAGCUUUAUUUAUGAGAGUGGAGCAUAAAAUGGAAAAGAUAGAACAGGAUCCUUCGAGAUAAAUAUGGUGGGAAGUGGGGGAGAUGGGAUGAGUGGUUGCUAUUUAUGUGAAAUCCAAGGGUGGGGGGAUAGUGCUCCAAAAAGCACCACAGAGAUCAACCACAUCCCAAUGAAAACACAGCUUUCUUUCAGGAUAAUAUGGAAACCCUCCAUACCGAUCCUUCAACAGGAUGAGGAAGAACCCCACCCUGAUGUGAGGUUUAAACCACAGCUCCUGGGAGGAGGACUGCUAGUGCUGUGCAUACUGCUCAGGGCUCCCAGUAUGCAGCACCCCAGCACGUGCUCCUGUGUACCCGUUUUUAUGUGAAUGUAUGAAUUCAGGCUUGUGAGGAUCCCCCUCCCAAACCAGAACAGAAGCAGCUACUUUAUGAUUUCAGUCCCCUUAACUCUGUCUGCUUGCUCACAGCUCCUUAAAGAUCACAUAGGAGACCCUUUUAUUCUUGUGCAGGGCUGGGGCAUAUCAGCCUGAAGCCUGCUGUCUUCUGUGACCUUCAAGGCACAAGGUGAACACACCUUGAGGAGUUCUACCUGAACGCCAUAUUUGUGAUCUUCCCAUAGCUGCCAGUCUAUGCUAAACUGUGGCCACAGAGACCUCAUUUUAUUGCUGUUUGUGUAGGUGUAGAGGUAUUUGAGGCAUAAAACUAUGAACAUGGAUAUUUAUUCAUCUAGAUUUGCUUUGAUUUUCUUAAAGAUGAAUUCAUUACCAGUGAGAAAGCUAAAGCCUCGCUAUUAAAAGCCCAAGUGCAUUUUGGUUUAUUCUGUUUUUAAAUUUAUUUUUAAGGAUGCACACAAAUUAACUGCUUUCUAAUUACACUCUGGGUGUUGGGCCCUCAGGGUGCUGCAGUAGAACGGGGUGCCAGCAGUGGGACCUGUGGGGUCAGAGCAGCAGGGGCACCUGUUACCUUAGCUCACUGUGCUGCAUUAUCUGCCCCUUCAGUUGUUGGGGCUCUCACUUUGCAGGCAAGCAAUGCUCUGAUUAAGGGUUAAAGUGAGGCAAAUGGGGCAGAAAGAAGUUAAAGAUGUGAGCUACAGUGAUGUCCUCUUUACACUGCUGGAAAAUCAGAUGGAGUGUAUGUGCUCUUGCACUGUAGUAUGAGCAACAGAGAGAGCAGGGGAUUUAUCUAGCUGCAGUCUAAUAUUCUGUUGGCUGCAGCAAAGGCUGCAGCACUUCUCGACUAUCGGCUGGCGCUUUCACUCACACACAUCUGUGAUUGAUGGGCAGAGAGUAUAAACACCUCAUUAGUGCUAUAAUUCACUGGUUAGGGCUCAGUCUGUGCCGUGGGAGGGAGGAAGAAAAGAGUUGAGAAAGUUUAAUAACUAAAAUUAAAAAAAAAAAAAAAAAGGAGAAGAACGGAUGUAAAGCCACACAAAUCAUUCCAGGGAGUUAUCUGACCUGCUUUGAAAACUUUAAUUGCUGAUAAUGGACAACCUGUUGGGUGGUAUUUUAUUAACACUAAUAGAUUUUUACGGGAUAUUUCUCACAUUGCUCUCCCAGAGCCUGAGGAAUACAUUAAAUAUUAAAAGUUAAUGCUCUUGGUUGCUGUUUCAAGGAUGCCCUGCUGAUAACGAGCUUUCCCGCAAGUUAGAAACCAGGAGAAAGCAUGAGCUGCUUUUGCCAUUUACGGGCUCUGCAAUAAUAAUGAGGGAAAUACUUGAAUCAUGUAUGCACCUCACAGCUGUGGUUCUCAAAAGUCCAUCUGAAGUGCUACGUAGCGAAAAUGCUCAGCCCAGAGGUGGUAGGUGUAUCUAAUCUUCAGUUGUGGAUGUGCAAGAGCUGUGCUCCUGAGUCCCACGCUGAAAUUGAGUGCUUCCAAAGCUUCAUGUGCUGCUUUACAUUUCAGUUAUUCAAAGCAGAGACCUCGACCAACAACUCAUACUUGUUUCUCGAGAGAGCUUACGUCUGAAAUGGAUGUUCCGUCAUAUUUUCCUUUCAUAUGUAGCAGUUUUAUAAAAGAAUUGCUUUCAUGCUGGGUUGUUUUGUUGUUGUUGGUUUUGGGGUUUUUUUUUUUUGUUUGUUUGUUUGUUUGUUUUUUGUAACACAGAUGACCCAGCUACCUGGAACAGAAACAAGGGAGUCUCAGCAGAAUGUGAGCAACAAGGGAUUUUCUUGAAGAUGCUCUCAGUCCUACACAGAGCAGAGAACCCUCCAAGUAUGGAGAAAAAAAAGCCAGUUCUGUACUCUAAAGCAAUAGAUUCAAGCAGUCAGAGAAGGAAAAGAAAUGAUUGCCAACACGCUUUCCCUCCAGCAAGUUGGAAAGUAAAUUUGAAACUGAGUGUGAACAGUAAGCAACUCGUAUGGUGAGUCAGAGUGAGGUCUUGCAUUAGAAUUGAAAAGUCAUAAUAGUCACAAUAUACAUUUCUGCUCAUGGGUGAAACCUGGACUUCCUUUUUAGUGCCUUCUUUGGACAUGCCAGCCCUGUCAGCAGUCAUGGCCUGGCCUUAGAAAUGAAACUUAAUUUUGUUACGCCCUGCCUUGGGUCGCUGCCCAUGGCGGCCUGUCUCUUUUGUGUCGUGCCAUCUUCACUUGUGGGAGCAAUAGGCUUGGUUUUGGAUCUUGUUCUAACCGCUGUUUAUGCAGCCACCUCCUGUGCCAAACCAAGCUGGACUCCGUGGCCAUGUCCGUGCUCUCUGGAACAGCACUGGUGCAAUCUUGAUUCCUCUGUCUGGUUGGUAUUGGCAGCUGGAUUAUCAAGAUGCCUUGAGAAAGUACUUCUGCAAGUAUUUUUCAUACAAUCAAAGCUGUUAGCACUGAAAUAUCUUCCCCAGAAAGGAUUCUCCUGAGCUGCACACCGUGACUGCUGCCUUGACAUUCUCCCAAGCUGACAUCCCGACCGGUAUGACACUGAUGCCUUUGGGCAGAAAUCAGAGCCGGUUUGCUACAUGCCUCCAUGUAGCCAUGAUGCCUGUAGCGCCUCUGAGAGCCCCCAGUGCCCUGGUGGGGAACUGGAGCGAGCACGUGGGCCCCAGAUGAACUCCAGGGAGAGAGCAGGCAUUAUCCCUGGUGAUCCUGCUACCCGUUUCCAGUUGCACAGCUGUUCCUUGCUAAUCCUCCACGUUCCCUUGAAGAAGUGAUGCCUCUCCCAAGCUUCUGUGCUAGCAUCAUGAGAGAACUGAUCUACGGGCUACUCAGUGGUUACUUACAUCAUUCCUGUGCUUCCAGCCAUGUGACUUGACCGCAGGCUUUCAAAAGAGGCAGAAUGAUUCCUGUGCCACAUGUCUGUGAAAGUCUUCCUGACACAUUUUUAUCUACCCAAGCUGCAAUAAGACAGUAUCCAAGCUUUGAAUCUUUGGAUUUUAGUACCUACUGAAAUCCCCUGAAUGGUGCUGUUAAUUAUGUUGCAUGGCUUUGAUGAAUGAUGUAUACGGGACAACAUUUCAUUUUGUCUGAAGGGAGGUAAGUGGGAUGAGGAGCUUCUGGGUUCUCAGUGAGGCAGGAGAGGUCCUAGAUAUUGGCUGAUGAAGGGGAAGUUUCUUCCUCUCUGUAGAGGGCUGUAAAGUCAGUGUCAAGUCAACAUGACAUCUGGGUUAUGUCACCUUCUGGUGGGGAUACCUAUUCAUACGUUGUAUUUUUUCAGACAGAAACCAAUUCAAUACUUUACCUAAAAACCGUGUAGAAUGAUUCUAAGGAUUAUAACUCAGUUCUACCUGUCUUCAGUUUUAUUCUGGGACAAGAGGACUUGGUAGAAAUUCUGCAUAAUAAGUUUUAUCAGAUACCAGCUGAAGUGGAUAGUGGAAAAAAGGCUGCUCAAAAGAAACAGAAAAAGAAGGAAAGCCAGGAGAAGGCAGUACCAUUGGAACUAAGGAUUUUGAGAGUAUUCACUGCUGUUAAAGCAUCCAGCAUGACAAGGAACUAAUUGGAGUGCAUGUUGUUGCAUUGUAACCACAAGGAGUAUUAGAAAAGAUAGAAAGUGGGAUUUCUUUUACGGGAGUUUAUGUGUUUGCAUUGCAGAUAUUUGCGUGUUUUAUUUAUGCAAAUUCCAGUUCAGUGAUUCACUUCAAAAUGAAUGGAAAUUUCUGAUACACAAUUAAGGUGCAUUUAAUGAGGAAGUUCAAGAUAGAAGAAGGGAACAAGAAAUGCACACAGAACAGAGUUGGGAAAGUUUCUGUAUCUAUUCUAUUUCAGGGUAAACCUGUGGUCAUUCAAAAUUAGAAAAAUAAGUUAAAUCAUUCUAGAAUAAGCCAGUCCCUAUGGCAUGUGGCCAUGAGAUAAACCAAAGCUCAACUCUGCUCUACACUGUUUGUACCGUAGACUAGAACCAGAGUCUUCCACAUUGCAAUAGAAUUGUUCAGAUUUGUAUACCUGAUAAAAUAAUUGUGAGUAGCAUGUAAUUAACCCUGGGUACCCCACAUUACAUGUGGUAGUCCUAAGUAUAAAGGAAUAGAACGGAGGGACAAAAGAAAGUCCAUCAAAGAACUGAGAAUAUACUCUUUUUGAAACUACUUUCUUUUUGUGAGAAAUUUCAGUUAAACUUAAUUGACCUUUCCCAAUGAAAUUGUACUUGGAAAAUUUCCUGAGCAGCUCUCAUAAGGAGGUUUUGGAGUCAGAAGGACCAGAAGAACCCUUCAGGUAAUAAGUUUAAAACAAAUAGAAGGAAACAAUUUGCGACAUUAGUGGCUAAAUAAAUUGCGGAAGUCAUUGUGAAGUAAAUAUGAUGGCCAAAGGCAAAAAUAUGUUCAGAGAACAUUUGGAUGUGUAAGUAGAGGGUGGCUCUGCUAGCCACCUGAUAUAGGGGGGGGGGGUCUUUAAGCAGAUUACUAAAACAACAGCCAGUUAUAACAAGGAAAGGGCAGUCCUGCAAGGACUCAUUUUCUGUUUUCUCCUGUAAGUGAGUGCUCCUGCCUUCUGGUAGAGGUCAGGUACUGAGCUAGGUCGAUUUUUGGUCUGACACAACAUGACAUUUCUUAUUCUUGUUGUAAGUAGUUCUUGCACAUUCUUUUCUUGUGAAAGAAUCUUCUCUGCUGGAAAGUUUCACUGGAAGUUUUUCUGUCAGUUUAGUCUGCAUGCCUGCUUUUGUGUCCUGCCUAUCUACAUAUGUUGACAUGUAGGAUUUGACUACAGUGGGACUGGGUGCAAGUGGUCCAACAGCAUUUCUACACACAAGUUUAGAAGGAUGUUACCCUUGUACCUUGUGAGUUUUUGUUUGUUUGUUGGUUGGUUGGUUGGUUGGUUUUGGGGGUUUUUUUGUUUUUUGUUUUUUGUUUUUUUUUGCAGGGCUUGCAGUGGCUCCAGUCAGCUAGCCUUGCUUCUGUUAGUGCUUCUUGAACUAAAAGAAUAGUUUCCUUCUGAAAAUUAGGUAUAAAAAUUCAGAAAAGUGUUUUCCAAAUAGCCCACAAUGUUUAGAAUUAACAACAAGCCCUCUUCCAGCUCAUUCUGUCAUUUGGGCAUGUUCAUGCUACGUGUCAGGACAAACCAUUGAGACAUCUGGAUGGGUUCAUGUGAGUCCGUGGGUUUUGAAUCAUUUUGCGUGGGAAAUCCCGCGGUACUGUGCUCAUUUCACUGACAAACAGCUCACAUCUCCUCAUGACAAAACAGACAGACCCUUUGCAAAGCAUAAUAGAGGAGAAUGUUCAUGUUCUGACUAUGAUCCAAAACUGUUCUCACAGUAACAUCAUCUGACUCUUUUAGCCCUCCAGAUGGGCAGGCCCAUGCAUCUUGCACAGAUAUGCACAGAGAAACAUCCAAGAGCCUCCUUCCUUCCUUCCUUCCUUCCUUCCUUCCUUCCUUCCUUCCUUCCUUCCUUCCUUCCUUCCUUCCUUCCUUCCUUCCUUCCUUCCUUCCUUCCUUCCUUCCUUCCUUCCUUCCUUCCUUCCUUCCUUCCUUCCUUCCUUCCUUCCUUCCUUCCUUCCUUCCUUCCUUCCUUCCUUCCUUCCUCCCUUCCUCCCUUCCUCCCUUCCUCCCUUCCUCCCUUCCUCCCUUCCUCCCUUCCUCCCUUCCUCCCUUCCUCCCUUCCUCCCUUCCUCCCUUCCUCCCUUCCUCCCUUCCUCCCUUCCUCCCUUCCUCCCUUCCUCC